UACGUAGGUGACAAGCGUUGUCCGGAUUUACUGGGCGUAAAGAGCGCGCAGGCGGUCGAUCAAGUCGAGUGUGAAAGCCCCCGGCUCAACUGGGGAGGGUCAUUCGAUACUGAUCGACUCGAAGGCAGGAGAGGGUAGUGGAAUUCCCGGUGUAGUGGUGAAAUGCGCAGAUAUCAGGAGGAACACCGAUGGCGAAGGCAGGUCUCUGGGCCGUUACUGACGCUGAGGAGCGAAAGCGUGGGGAGCGAACAGG
rnacentral:rRNA from 1 species